rnacentral:rRNA from 1 species
GAUGAACGCUGGCGGCGUGCUUAACACAUGCAAGUCGAACGAUGAACCUCACUUGUGGGGGGAUUAGUGGCGAACGGGUGGGUAACACGUGAGUAACCUGCCCUUGACUCUGGGAUAAGCCUGGGAAACUGGGUCUAAUACCGGAUAUGACUGAUCACCGCAUGGUGGUUGGUGGAAAGCUUUUGCGGUUUUGGAUGGACUCGCGGCCUAUCAGCUUGUUGGUGGGGUAAUGGCCUACCAAGGCGACGACGGGUAGCCGGCCUGAGAGGGUGACCGGCCACACUGGGACUGAGACACGGCCCAG